rnacentral:rRNA from 1 species
UGGGCGGUUCGCCCAUUAAAGUGGUACGCGGGCUGGGUUCAGAACGUCGUGGGACAGUUCGGUACCUAUUCGUCGCAGGCGUAGGAAAUUUGGGAAGACCUGUCCUUAGUACGAGAGGACCGGGAUGGACGUACCUCUGGUGUACCAGUGGUUGUGCGAAGGGCAUGGCUGGGUAGCUAUGUACGGAAUGGAUAAGCGCUGAAAGCAUCUAAGCGCGAAGCCAACUUCAAGAUAAGAUUUCCCACCGCAAGGGUAAGACCCCAGAAAGACUAUCUGGUUGAUAGGUCGAAGGUGUAAGUGCAGCAAUGUAUUUAGCUUAUCGAUACUAAUAGGUCGAGGACUUGACCAAU